rnacentral:rRNA from 1 species
AAGUCGUAACAAGGUUUCGUCGUUGGACGAGAUCCUUCUCGGAAGCCUUUCACGCAACGACUCUAACCAUGUGUGUAGUCUAUAGAAGUAGGCGACGUCGUCCCUAUGCUGGAACGUUAUAAUUAUAUAAUCCACCAGCAGCCAGGCAUUUCUGGUCCACAGAUUAGGUGAUGGCGGUCCUUGGAUUGCCCCAAGGAUCAAGAUAUAAUCGGUCUUUGAUAUUUGAUAUUAAAUGAACAACGUUCCGUAGGUGAACCUGCGGAAGGAUCAUUACCGAGUUAGGGUCCUCUGGGCCUCAUCUCCAACCCUUGUCUAUUCUACCACGUUGCUUUGGCGGGCCCGUCUUUGACCGGACCGCCGGGGAUCUCCGUCCCUGGCCAGCGCCCGCCAAUAGCCCCCAAAAUUCCAUAAACAGUGAUUGUCUAAAUCCAAAAUAAAUAAUUUAAAACUUUCAACAACGGAUCUCUUGGUUCUGGCAUCGAUGAAGAACGCAGCGAAAUGCGAUAAGUAAUGCGAAUUGCAGAAUUCCGUGAGUCAUCGAAUCUUUGAACGCACAUUGCGCCCUUUGGUAUUCCGAAGGGCAUGCCUGUUCGAGCGUCAUUAUCAACCCUCAAGCUUGGCUUGUUAUUGGGUCCCGUUGAAUGUAAAUCUCAACGGACCUCAAAGAUAAUGGCAGAGCCUGUACGGACCUGGAUGCAGCGAGCUUCUUAGCACGCAUCACAGCGAUCCUCCGGCUCGGUCUUAACCGUCAUUUUUUCUGGUUGACCUCGGAUCAGGUAGGGAUACCCGCUGAACUUA